CGCAACUCCCGGCGACCCCCGCGCUCCCGGGUGGCAAGAUGGUGGCGCGCAGGACGAAGCUCGCGGCGCGGGACCCGGAGGACGGUAUCCCGAGCCCACCGUGCUACGCAGCUAUUCCAAUCAAGUUCUCUGAAAAGCAACAGGCUUCUCACUACCUCUAUGUGAGAGCACACGGCAUUCAACAAGGCACCAAGUCCACCUGGCCUCAGAAGAGGACUCUUUUUGUCUUCAAUGUGCCCCCAUACUGCACAGAGCAGGAGAGCCUGUCCUGCCUCCAGUCCACCUGUGGCCUUGUCCAGUCUGUAGAGUUGAAGGAGAAGCUGGAGCUGGCUGGGAGUCAAGGUCGAAGUUUUUUCAUCCAAAGCCAGUUCCGGGUUUCCAGGUAGCCUACGUGGUGUUCCAGAAGCCAAGUGGGGUGUCAGCGGCCUUGGCCCUGAAGGGCCCCCUGCUGGUGUCCACAGAGAGCCACCCUGUGAAGAGUGGCAUUCACAAAUGGAUCAGUGACUACGCAGACUCUGUGCCCGACCCUGAGGCCCUGAGGGUGGAAGUGGACACGUUCAUGGAGGCAUAUGACCAGAAGAUCGCUGAGGAAGAAGCUAAGGCCAAGGAGGAGGAGGGGGUCCCUGACGAGGAGGGCUGGGUGAAGGUGACCCGCCGGGGCCGGCGGCCUGUGCUCCCCCGGACUGAGGCAGCCAGCUUGCGGGUGCUGGAGAGGGAGAGACGGAAGCGCAGCCAAAAAGAGCUGCUCAACUACGCCUGGCAGCAUCGAGAGAGCAAGAUGGAGCAUCUAGCGCAGCUGCGCAAGAAGUUUGAGGAGGACAAGCAGAGGAUCGAGCUGCUGCGGGCCCAGCGCAAAUUCCGACCCUACUGAGCCGUGAGAGCCGCAGUGGAUGGCUGGAGGUGCAGGGCCAGGAGGAACAUGAGUGUCCACCAAAGGAGACAGGGCUGGGAGCGCUGCCCGGGGCCCAGGUCCUCCCUAAUGACAGCAUGCACGAAAGCCCGCUUCUCACAUCUGAUUCCAGGAGAAAGAGCGGCGUGUCCAGCAAGAUAAGUUUAUCCACCAUCUCGGGGAAGGUACAGAAAAACUGUGAGGAUGCCAAAAGGGGAGAAUGAAUAGGGGGAAGAAGGAAAGGACACUCCCGCCUUUCCCUGGGGACCCUGGAGUUCCCCGAAACAUCUUUUAGGCUGGGGGGAGGGUGCUGACCAAGAGGCCAGAGGAGAAUCUUCUAUCUAUGGUGUGCCUUCCCCCACCACCCCUAAGUCUGCACCCAGCACUGAGCUCCAGACCUUGGUGAUGGCUGGACUCCAGGGUGCGGUGGGACCGGGUAUGGGGGCGUGGAAACAUGAACUCUACCAGGAGUCUCCACCGUUUACACCAACUUCCUGGUAUAAGGACUGUCACUGUGACAGGAGGAGGCACUUUCUGUCCCAGGUACCUUCUCCUUCCUCCUUUGUGCUCCCCUCCCCACUCCACCCAAGGGAGCCCCAGUUGGCCAGACAAAGCCAUCUACUCACCAUUCCGCCCACGACGCCACCUGGGGGACAAAAGAGCUGUGGGUGACAUUCCCUCACUCCCUCCCCAGCUGCAUACCCUAAAGCUUCUUCCCACCAGUUGGGGGGGGGGGGCACCAUAUGGGUGGCUGGGGGCUCAGCAUCUGGGCCAUGAUGUCCCCUUCAUCAGACCUGACCACUCAAAAGACCACAUUUCCCUCAUCCCUGUGUCCCUUGCGGCAGUUGCCUGAGGUCAGAGGGUACAGUGGUCAACCUCUGACUGACCCUCUCAUCUCUCUUUGCAGAUCUCAUAAGUGCAGGGGAAAGGGGUGGGGCAGCAGCUCCUAUCCUUCCCUCCCAGCCCUACUCCGGGCCCGGUCAGCUCCUGGCCACUGUACUCACCGAAGCUGUGGCCCAGAAUGGAGAAUCGAUUCCAUUUCAAGGCUGGAAAUGCAAGGAGCCAGAAGGUCCGGCUGGGCACAGGCUCAGCCCACGAUCUUGCUUCUAGUCCCCAGGCUCAGGAAAUCCCUUCCCAGCAUCUGGGGUGUCCACCCAGGACACUAGCUUGGGGGACCCACUGGAGGAAGCGAACUCUUCAACUUUCCCAAGAUCUCCCGUGAAUUGCUGGCAGACCUGGGGCCAGAGCCCAGGCCCCACUCUCAGGCCAGCGCUGCUUCCUGGAUCCUACCCCGCCUCCAGUGAUAAGAGGGGGUGCCCUAGAGCACCCCCCACACCGCCGAAAAUACACACUCUGUUUCUUACCUGCCACAACUCUUCGGAUCUCACUCACAAAAGUCUGGAGGUAAUAUGGGACACCUGGGCUGUAAUGGGACGAGAGCCCAUGACCUCCGAAAUCCAUGGCAACGUAAUAAAAGUCUGAAACAGAGAGAAGCGGG
ensembl:lncRNA RRP7BP ribosomal RNA processing 7 homolog B, pseudogene